UACGUAGGGGGCGAGCGUUGUCCGGAAUCAUUGGGCGUAAAGAGCUCGUAGGCGGUUCAGCAAGUCGGCUGUGAAAUUCCGAGGCUCAACCUCGGAACUGCAGUCGAUACUGCUGUGACUCGAGUCCGGUAGAGGAGAAUGGAAUUCCCGGUGUAGCGGUGAAAUGCGCAGAUAUCGGGAGGAACACCAGUAGCGAAGGCGGUUCUCUGGGCCGGUACUGACGCUGAGGAGCGAAAGCGUGGGGAGCAAACAGGAUUAGAUACCCCGGUAGUCC
rnacentral:rRNA from 1 species